rnacentral:snRNA from 1 species
GUGCUCGCUUCGGCAGCACAUAUACUAAAAUUGGAACGAUACAGAGAAGAUUAGCAUGGCCCCUGCGAAAGGAUGACACACAAAUUCGUGAAGCGUUCCCUCUUUUU